CGUUCCCGGGCCUUGUACACACCGCCCGUCACGUCAUGAAAGUCGGUAACACCCGAAGCCGGUGGCCCAACCCUUGUGGAGGGAGCCGUCGAAGGUGGGAUCGGCGAUUAGGACG
rnacentral:rRNA from 1 species